rnacentral:rRNA from 1 species
AGCUUGCUUGGUUGAUUAGUGGCGAACGGGUGAGUAACACGUGAGUAACCUGCCCCUUACUUUCCUGGAUAACUGCUCGAAAGGGUAGCUAAUACGGGAUAUUCUGGCCUUCCUGCAUGGGUUGGUUUGGAAAGGUUGUUUUUCUGGUAAGGGAUGGGCUCGCGGCCUAUCAGCUUGUUGGUGGGGUGAUGGCCUACCAAGGCUUUGACGGGUAGCCGGCCUGAGAGGGUGGACGGUCACACUGGGACUGAGAUACGGCCCAGACUCCUACGGGAGGCAGCAGUGGGGAAUAUUGCACAAUGGGCGCAAGCCUGAUGCAGCGACGCCGCGUGAGGGAUGAAGGCCUUCGGGUUGUAAACCUCUUUCGUCAGGGAACAAGGCACUGCUUUUGGUGGUGUUGAGGGUACCUGGAUAAGAAGCGCCGGCUAACUACGUGCCAGCAGCCGCGGUAAUACGUAGGGCGCAAGCGUUGUCCGGAAUUAUUGGGCGUAAAGAGCUCGUAGGCGGCUGGUCGCGUCUGUCGUGAAAACUUCCGGCUCAACCGGGGGCUUGCGGUGGGUACGGGCCGGCUAGAGUGCGGUAGGGGUAACUGGAACUCCUGGUGUAGCGGUGGAAUGCGCAGAUAUCAGGAAGAACACCGAUGGCGAAGGCAGGUUACUGGGCCGUUACUGACGCUGAGGAGCGAAAGCGUGGGGAGCGAACAGGAUUAGAUACCCUGGUAGUCCACGCUGUAAACGUUGGGCACUAGGUGUGAGGCUCCUUUCCGGGGGUUUUGCGCCGUAGCUAACGCAUUAAGUGCCCCGCCUGGGGAGUACGGCCG